rnacentral:rRNA from 1 species
GACGAACGCUGGCGGCGUGCUUAACACAUGCAAGUCGAACGGAAAGGCCCUGCUUUUGUGGGGUGCUCGAGUGGCGAACGGGUGAGUAACACGUGAGUAACCUGCCCUUGACUUUGGGAUAACUUCAGGAAACUGGGGCUAAUACCGGAUAGGAGCUCCUGCUGCAUGGUGGGGGUUGGAAAGUUUCGGCGGUUGGGGAUGGACUCGCGGCUUAUCAGCUUGUUGGUGGGGUAGUGGCUUACCAAGGCUUUGACGGGUAGCCGGCCUGAGAGGGUGACCGGCCACAUUGGGACUGAGAUACGGCCCAGACUCCUACGGGAGGCAGCAGUGGGGAAUAUUGCACAAUGGGCGGAAGCCUGAUGCAGCGACGCCGCGUGCGGGAUGACGGCCUUCGGGUUGUAAACCGCUGUCGCCUGUGACGAAGCGUGAGUGACGGUAAUGGGUAAAGAAGCACCGGCUAACUACGUG